UCUCCGUUGGUGAACCUGCGGAGGGAUCAUUACUGAGUGAGGGCUCACGCCCGACCUCCAACCCUUUGUGAACCAAACUUGUUGCUUCGGGGGCGACCCUGCCGUUUCGACGGCGAGCGCCCCCGGAGGCCUUCAAACACUGCAUCUUUGCGUCGGAGUUUAAAACAAAUUAAACAAAACUUGCAACAACGGAUCUCUUGGUUCUGGCAUCGAUAGAACGCAGC
rnacentral:misc_RNA from 1 species